rnacentral:rRNA from 1 species
UGCUCAGAACGAACGCUGGCGGCGUGGAUUAGGCAUGCAAGUCGAACGAGAAGGUUUUUCUUUGAGUUUUCGGACAAGGAGAGAAACUGGAAAGUGGCGAAAGGGUGAGUAACGCGUGAGUAAUUUGCCUCUAAGCCGGGGACAACCUUGCGAAAGCGAGAUUAAUACCGGAUGUGGUCCCCCGAUGCAUAUCGGGGUGUCUAAAGGUGGGGACCUUCGGGCCUACCGCUUGGAGAUGAGCUCGCGUCCCAUCAGCUUGUUGGUAGGGUAACGGCCUACCAAGGCUUACGGGUAGCUGGUCUGAGAGGAUGAUCAGCCACACUGGGACUGAGACACUGCCCAGACUCCUACGGGAGGCUGCAGUCGAGAAUCAUUCGCAAUGCGCGAAAGCGUGACGAUGCGACGCCGCGUGCAGGAUGAAGGCCCUUGGGUCGUAAACUGCUGUCAUGGGGGAGUAAUGACUGUAGUGCAAAUAGCGCUACGGAGUGAUAGUACCCCAAGAGGAAGCCACGGCUAACUCUGUGCCAGCAGCCGCGGUAAUACAGAGGUGGCUAGCGUUGUUCGGAUUUACUGGGCGUAAAGGGUGCGUAGGCGGCUUCGUAUGUCAGAUGUGAAAUCUUACCGUUCAUCGGUGAAAGUGCAUUUGAAACUGCGGGGCUAGAGUACGGGAGAGGAGAGCGGAAUUCUCGGUGUAGCGGUGAAAUGCGUAGAUAUCGAGAAGAACGCCGGAGGCGAAGGCGGCUCUCUGGAACGUAACUGACGCUGAGGCACGAAAGCUGGGGGAGCAAACAGGAUUAGAUACCCUGGUAGUCCCAGCCGUAAACGUUGUACACUUGGUGUAGGGAGGUUUGUCCCUCUCUGUGCCGAAGCUAACGCAUUAAGUGUACCGCCUGGGGAAUACGGCCGCAAGGCUAAAACUCAAAGGAAUUGACGGGGGCCCGCACAAGCGGUGGAGCAUGUGGCUUAAUUCGAUGCAACGCGAAGAACCUUACCAGGGCUUGACAUGGUGACUCUUCGGAGGUGGGUGUGAAAGCACCCUUUAUACACACAGGUGCUGCAUGGCUGUCGUCAGCUCGUGCCGUAAGGUGUUGGGUUAAGUCCCGCAACGAGCGCAACCCUUGUGGUUAGUUGCUAGUAUCCUUCGGGAUGCGCACUCUAGCCAGACUGCCCGUUAUAAGCGGGAGGAAGGUGGGGAUGACGUCAAGUCAGUAUGGUCCUUAUGCCCUGGGCUGCACACGUGCUACAAUGGGCGGUACAGAGGGAAGCAAUAUCGCGAGGUGGAGCUAAUCCUUAAAACCGUCCUCAGUUCGGAUCGGAGUCUGAAACUCGACUCCGUGAAGUUGGAAUCGCUAGUAAAGGCGUAUCAGCUACGACGCCUUGAAUACGUUCCCGGGCCUUGUACACACCGCCCGUCACAUCACGAAAGUCGAUUGCACCCGAAGUCGCCGGCCUAACCCGCAAGGGAAGGAGGCGCCGAAGGUGUGAUUGGUGAUUGGGAUGAAGUCGAAACAAGGUA